AUUGAACGCUGGCGGCAUGCUUUACACAUGCAAGUCGAACGGUAACAGGCCUUCGGGCGCUGACGAGUGGCGAACGGGUGAGUAAUGCAUCGGAACGUGCCCAGUCGUGGGGGAUAACGCAGCGAAAGCUGUGCUAAUACCGCAUACGAUCGGUGGAUGAAAGCGGGGGACCUUCGGGCCUCGCGCGAGUGGAGCGACCGAUGUCAGAUUAGGUAGUUGGUGGGGGAAAGGCCCACCAAGCCGACGAUCUGUAGCUGGUCUGAGAGGACGACCAGCCACACUGGGACGGAGACACGGCCCAGACUCCUACGGGAGGCAGCAGUGGGGAAUUUUGGACAAUGGGCGCAAGCCUGAUCCAGCAAUGCCGCGUGCAGGAAGAAGGCCUUCGGGUUGUAAACUGCUUUUGUACGGAGCGAAAAGGCUCCCUCUAAUACAGGGGGCUCAUGACGGUACCGUAAGAAUAAGCACCGGCUAACUACGUGCCAGCCGCCGCCGUAA
rnacentral:rRNA from 1 species